UACGGGAGGGUGCAAGCGUUAUCCGGAUUCACUGGGUUUAAAGGGUGCGUAGGCGGCGCGGUAAGUCGGGUGUGAAAUCUCGGAGCUUAACUCCGAAACUGCAUUCGAUACUGCCGUGCUUGAGGACUGGAGAGGAGACUGGAAUUUACGGUGUAGCGGUGAAAUGCGUAGAUAUCGUAAGGAAGACCAGUGGCGAAGGCGGGUCUCUGGACAGUUCCUGACGCUGAGGCACGAAGGUCAGGGGAGCAAACGGG
rnacentral:rRNA from 1 species